rnacentral:rRNA from 1 species
GAUGAACGCUGGCGGCGUGCCUAAUACAUGCAAGUCGAGCGAACAGACGAGGAGCUUGCUCCUCUGACGUUAGCGGCGGACGGGUGAGUAACACGUGGAUAACCUACCUAUAAGACUGGGAUAACUUCGGGAAACCGGAGCUAAUACCGGAUAAUAUAUUGAACCGCAUGGUUCAAUAGUGAAAGACGGUUUUGCUGUCACUUAUAGAUGGAUCCGCGCCGCAUUAGCUAGUUGGUAAGGUAACGGCUUACCAAGGCAACGAUGCGUAGCCGACCUGAGAGGGUGAUCGGCCACACGGGAACUGAGACACGGUCCAGACUCCUACGGGAGGCAGCAGUAGGGAAUCUUCCGCAAUGGGCGAAAGCUUGACGGAGCAACGCCGCGUGAGUGAUGAAGGUCUUCGGAUCGUAAAACUCUGUUAUUAGGGAAGAACAAAUGUGUAAGUAACUAUGCACGUCUUGACGGUAACUAAUCAGAAAGCCACGGCUAACUACGUG